UACGUAGGGGGCGAGCGUUGUCCGGAAUCAUUGGGCGUAAAGCGCGUGUAGGCGGCCCGGUAAGUCCGCUGUGAAAGUCCAGGGCUCAACCCUGGGAUGCCGGUGGAUACUGUCGGGCUCGAGUCCGGAAGAGGCGAGUGGAAUUCCUGGUGUAGCGGUGAAAUGCGCAGAUAUCAGGAGGAACACCGAUGACGAAGGCAGCUCGCUGGGACGGUACUGACGCUGAGGCGCGAAAGCGUGGGGAGCGAACAGG
rnacentral:rRNA from 1 species